rnacentral:rRNA from 1 species
AACGAACGCUGGCGGCAGGCCUAACACAUGCAAGUCGAACGCCGUAGCAAUACGGAGUGGCAGACGGGUGAGUAACACGUGGGAACGUACCCUUCGGUUCGGAAUAACUCAGGGAAACUUGAGCUAAUACCGGAUACGUCCGAGAGGAGAAAGAUUUAUCGCCGAGGGAUCGGCCCGCGUCUGAUUAGCUUGUUGGUGAGGUAACGGCUCACCAAGGCGACGAUCAGUAGCUGGUCUGAGAGGAUGAUCAGCCACAUUGGGACUGAGACACGGCCCAAACUCCUACGGGAGGCAGCAGUGGGGGAGUAUUGGACAAUGGGCGGAAAGACCUGAUACCAGCAAUGCCGCCGUGAGUGAUGAAGGCCUUAGGGUUGUAAAGCUCUUUUACCAGGGANGAUAAUGACAGUACUGGAGAAAUAAGCUCCGGCUAACUCCGUGCCAGCA